GGUGAUCUGCCCAACUCACUGUUCCAACUUCAAAUAUAUUAGACAUCACAAUAGGGGAUAGUGGUGGAAAGUUUGUGAUGUUAAAGACUGGAGACAUCUGUGUAGAAACACACUUCUGCUUGUUCAAAUGUUCACCUACACCAUCCUGAGGACUUGGUUGUUUUGCAUUGUCUGGUUGAUGGAGUUGGUUUUCCUGGCUACUCUGGACCACAGGAGCUGGAGCUUUAACUCUCCAUUCCUGUGUCACUUUAGUCUUCAGUGAGGGGUUUGGGGGGGG
rnacentral:lncRNA from 1 species